rnacentral:rRNA from 1 species
UACAGAGGUCUCAAGCGUUGUUCGGAUUCAUUGGGCGUAAAGGGUGCGUAGGUGGCGCCGUAAGUCGGGUGUGAAAUUUCGGAGCUUAACUCCGAAACUGCAUUCGAUACUGCGGUGCUUGAGGACUGGAGAGGAGACUGGAAUUCAUGGUGUAGCAGUGAAAUGCGUAGAGAUCAUGAGGAAGACCAGUGGCGAAGGCGGGUCGUCUGGACAGUUCCUGACACUGAGGCACGAAGGCCAGGGGAGCAAACGGG